GGAGAAAAAUAAAAAAAAUAUUCCAAAUUGGAGACUCUGCAAGGAAACACGAGUGAGGCCCCUGCAAAUCUUACCUAUUAGGGUGCUUUGUCUUUCUCUUUCAUUUCUCUUCCAUUUUCGAAGCUUCUCGAGAGCUCAUAUAAAAUUGGCCAAUUCCAAAUUCGGGGUAGGGUUUCCAAAGCUUCAACAUUUAGUCACCCAAUCCAAUGAAACGGAUAGCUCCAAGCUUAGCUUAGGGUUUCGGUUCUCUGAGACUGAAGGUACGCCGGUGACUAUACCGUUUUUGAAUGGCGGCAGCGAAUCCACAGCCACUGCAGGCUCGUCCUUAUGAAGAACAUGUGCGAGCGCCGAUACAGAUCGAGGAUGACGACGGCGGCGAGUACGGGGACGGUGACGCCAUGGAUGAAGUUGAAGAGGCGCACGUGAAUUCUGGUGUGAACGUGCCGGAGCAUCACGUCGGAGUUGGAGGUGGACCUGGUAUGGUUAUGGCGUCGAGGACCAGUGAACUUACUCUUUCUUUUGAAGGGGAGGUUUAUGUUUUCCCUGCUGUUACACCUGAGAAGGUGCAAGCAGUGCUCUUGCUUCUGGGUGGACGAGACAUACCCACUGCGGUACCUACUAUUGUAGUACCCUAUGAUCAAAAUAACAGGGGCAUAGUUGACACCCCAAAGCGUUCAAAUCUUUCACGAAGAAUAGCCUCCCUUGUUAGGUUUCGUGAGAAACGGAAGGAGAGAUGUUUUGACAAGAAAAUAAGAUACACUGUGCGAAAAGAGGUUGCACAGAGGUAUGUUGCAAUUAAACUAUUAAAUUUUUUGGUGCUGUCUGAUUAUGUCAAGUGCAGAUAUUUCUGUUAACUGAUAAACUAAGUUGUUAUAAUUUGCAAGUACUAUUUUUAUUUCAAAUGUUGAGAAGAUGAUUUAUUAUGUCUUUGCAGUUUAGGAGUUGGGAAUUCUUUUUUCCUUUUAUUCAUUAAUUGUUGGUAUUGCUGUUUUUGUGACUAAUCUAGUGGACCUAAAUACCAGUUUGUUUUAGUUGGAUAUUGCUUGUCAAGGAAUUGUAUGUAUCUUCAGGAAGCAUGCUUUACACAUUGAAACUAUGCCAUUGAUAUUUUGCAGUAUUAUUCAUUGUCCCUGUACAGCCCUGCUAGAUAUGGGAAGUUAUUGAAUUGAAUUUGUUAUAGAGACAAAUCCCCUGUCCUGCUGUUCGCACACACAUUAAAGAAAAGAAAAGAGGGGAAAAGUUGCCAUUGAUGAAAAUUCUACAGAACUUUGAACAUGUUGGUGUAAAUGUGAUGCUCUUUCUUUUCUAUUUAUUAUCUUGUUAGGAUGCACCGUAAGAAUGGGCAGUUUGCAUCCUUCAAAGAAAGCUUGGGUGGUUCAAGUUGGGACUCUGUGCAGAGUUGCCUACAGGAUGGCACUCCUCGUCCUGAAACCGCGUGAGUUGCGGGCUUAAUCUGGCUUUGUUAGUUUUGGCCUUCAUAAACGGUUAUUGUCAUGACCUCUGUUUAUGGUGUUUUUUGCUUAUGGACCUUAUGGUACUAGCUUUUAAUCCUCCCCAUGGGCUUUUGCAAUGUUUCAGUGUUCAGAGAUGCCAACAUUGUGGUGUUAGUGAAAAUAAUACUCCUGCAAUGCGUCGUGGGCCAGCUGGACCAAGGACAUUGUGUAAUGCUUGUGGCCUGAUGUGGGCGAAUAAGGGAACAUUGAGGGAUCUUAGCAAAGGAGGAAGGAAUCUUCCUAUAGACCAAGUUGAACCUGUAUGUACAAUGUCAAAGAACUGAAACCUUUGUUAAAGCUAAUUCAUUAAUUUGUGGAUCUGCUAUUUUUAAAAAUGUCCUAAACUAUUGCAAGUUUUGGAUUUUGAGUUGGGCAAAACUGAAUUUUGUUCGACUGUGAUUGCAUUAUUAUUAAUAUUGGUAAUCCUUAAUACGAGUUCUUAUUGUCUUGAUUCUUGCAUAAUUAGGUUACCAUGGUAUCUUCAUUGCUUUUCUUUAGGGCUUUAUCUUUUGAUUGCUGAGAUGCAUGUGGGUCAAGAAAUUUUCUGCAUUAAUCUUUUCCAAUUGGAAUACAUGUGGCGGUGUUGACAUCACUUCUAUUUGUAUGCAUGUUUUAAACUGAUGAUGGAUGUGCAGGUAGCCCUGAUUGAUGUCAAGCCUUCUAUCAUGGAAGGAGAAUUCUCAGGCAACCAGGAUGAGCAUGGAACUCCUGAAGAUCCUUCUAUGGCUAUAACUGAAGUAUCCAACAAUCCUUCUGUCAAUGCAGAGGAAGUAGUAUGAUUCGACUUCUAGCCUUAACAUAUAGAGGCAAUAUAUUUUACUUCUAUGCUUUCUAAAUGCUUGUUAUGCUAUGUAGUCUCUUCCUCCCUCCGCCCUUUCAACUCAGUUGAUGGUUUUGGGCUGAAAUUUGUGUAAUUGCUUGGCUUUUCUUGCUUCAAUAAUUAUUCUGAUAGAUGGCAGCAGUCUGUUUUCCAUUGCUAUGGUGCUGCAAAAUGCAACAAAGUGAGAUGAUGUUUCACCUGCAGCAGAGCAACUUGGAAUGAUGUGCAUUUUUAUAUUUUUAUUUAUUUUUUAAAUUGUUUGAUACUGGGGUUGCUAAAGUCCUUAAGGUUUUGCAUUUCAACUACUUGGUUUGUGUGUACUAUUUUAUUUUCCGACCUCAAAUAGAUAUGCCUUGUCUUUUUUAGCAACUGUCUAUUUCAUGUGAUACAGGUUUUGCAAGAAGGUACUGAAGAUCUGUCUAGUACUUUGCCAAUGGGAGUUGUCCAUUCUUCAGCAGAUGAUGAUGAGCAGGUAUAUCAUCUAUAUGAACAAUUUUGGAUAGAUGCUUCAUAUUUGCUGUCUAAUACCAAGUUGAUGCAAAUUUCAGAGUAAAGAACGUUAUAUUAUGAAAUUAAACAAAAUAAAAAUUGAAUACGUUUUAACGCUUAUGUGGUUGGGCUGUUUAACUUUGUCACCCAGUAAUAUACGUGAUGCUUUCUUUGCAAAAACUCACAGCAACUGCAAAAUGGAUAAAUAUAAUAGUAUUUGGAGCUUAAAAAAGGAAACCAUAAUUCAAAAAAGCUGAAUCACUUUGUCACCUAGUGAUAUAUGUGAUGCUUUGUUUUCAAAAGCUCAGAGUAACUGCAAAAUGGAUAAAUAUAUAGUAUUAGGAGCUUGAAAAUGGAUACCCAAUUUAAAAAAAUGCACUGUAUGGAUUGAAUUGUCAAAGUCAAGGUUUGUGCAUCCAUUUCUCAGCACACCACUCUUUAUCUUCUUUUCUACUACAAUGAGGCAAAAUUUCUGAAGCCUUGUGAGGAGGCACUUUGAUAAUCAUAUCCCAAAUCAUUCAUAUGCAAUUGGUUCUCAAUAUGUUCUUAGUAACUUGGUUUGCCUACUAUGGGCAUAAUGCACUCAAACCAAUGAUUUCUGUCGACAUUUUAGAAAAUGACAGUUAUCAGAGUGAAGUGCUAUAUCUCUAUUCAAGUUUCUGGGAUUGACAGGAGCCCCUGGCUGAGCUUGGUAACCCUUCAGAUACAGAAUUGGACAUACCUGCUAAUUUUGAUUAGAAGAGGGCAAUGCUACUGAUACCUCAUAAGGAUGGGUAAUUAGCAAAUUGAGUUAUAACUAGAAACGGGCAUGAUGUUGGAUCCCCAAGUAUAAUCAUCUGAAGAGGGGAGAAGAUUUGAUGCUGCUUUCAGCUAACUCCAAAAUAGCAAACGAUACUCCUUGUUGAUAUUAGUGCUGGAUCUUGUUUCUUUAUGAUUUGUUAGCAGAUAUGAGGAGCGCUAGUGAAUUAAGCAGAAUGUGAUUAAUUUGUUAGGCUGUUACAUAGUUUCAAUUCGCCUCAGGAUUGUAAUUUUUAACGUGGUUCACGGAAAUAAAAUAUGCUUCCAAUGUCCUCAUCUAAUCUCGGUAAUAAUCAGGGCACUGUAAUCAUUUGGUGCUACUGAUGAAACUAUAAAACGAUUUGGUAAUGUGCGAUGAUUUUUUUCUCCACCCUUCCAUUUUAAAUACA
rnacentral:misc_RNA from 1 species